GACGAACGCUGGCGGCGUGCUUAACACAUGCAAGUCGAACGGAAAGGCCUGCUUUCCCUUGUGGAUUGCGGGUACUCGAGUGGCGAACGGGUGAGUAACACGUGAGUGAUCUGCCACCAACUUGGGUAUAAGCCUGGGAAACUGGGUCUAAUUCCCGAUAGGACUGCAGGGUGGUGCCUGUGGUGGAAAACGAUUUUCUAGUGGUUGGGGAUGAGCUCGCGGCCUAUCAGCUUGUUGGUGGGGUAAUGGCCUACCAAGGCGGCGACGGGUAGCCGGCCUGAGAGGGGGGAGGGGCACAGUGAGACUGAGAAGCGACCCAGACUCCUACGGAAGGCAGCAGUUGGGAAGAGUGGACAAUGGGCGGAAGCCUGAUGCAGCGACGCCGCGUGGGGGAUGACGGCCUUCGUGUUGUAAACUCCUUUCGACCGCGAGGAAGCCACCUGGUUGGAAGGGUGGUGACGGUAGUGGUAGAAGAAGCACCGGCUAACUACGUG
rnacentral:rRNA from 1 species